rnacentral:rRNA from 1 species
UACGUAGGCAGCAAGCGUUGUUCGGAGUUACUGGGCGUAAAGAGUGCGUAGGCGGUUCUCUAAGUUUGGUGUGAAAUCUCCCGGCUCAACUGGGAGGGUGCGCCGAAGACUGGGAAGCUUGAGUGUGGGAGAGGUAAGCGGAAUUCCUGGUGUAGCGGUGAAAUGCGUAGAUAUCAGGAGGAACACCGGUGGUGUAGACGGCUUACUGGACCACUACUGACGCUGAGGCACGAAAGCGUGGGGAGCAAACAGG